rnacentral:lncRNA from 1 species
CAACAUCAUUAUUAUAAAAAAUGAUGGACGCCAGUGAUUCAUUUCCGGCUGCUGAUGCAGAAAAAGAGUUGAAUCCGGGCACCAACACGGAAGUAGAGGUUGAUUCUGUUUCAUCUGAAAUCGCAGAGAAGAAAGCGGUAGGCAGUUUUUGUUGUCACGUCGAUUAUAUAGGCAAUUCGAUGUGAAAAAAUAUGUCGUAAUAUUAAUGUGAAUGCAGGAAGGCAGUGCAGGGAAGAAGGAGAAAGGAAAGAAUGAUCCAAUGCAAACAUUUAAAACAACCAUGAUUGUCUCAGGAGUGGUCAUUGUGGUGCUUGCUGUAGCUUUGGCCGUAUCCAAGAAAAUGAAAGAGAAUAAAGCUUGAUGAGUUAGAU